CGAACGCUGGCGGCGCGCCUACCACAUGCAAGUCGAACGAGCGAGAGAGAGCUUGCUUUCUUGAGCGAGUGGCGAACGGGUGAGUAACGCGUGAGGAACCUGCCCCAAAGAGGGGGACAACAGUUGGAAACGACUGCUAAUACCGCAUAAGCCCACGACCCGGCAUCGGGUUGAGGGAAAAGGAGCAAUCCGCUUUGAGAUGGCCUCGCGUCCGAUUAGCUAGUUGGUGAGGUAACGGCCCACCAAGGCGACGAUCGGUAGCCGGACUGAGAGGUUGAACGGCCACAUUGGGACUGAGACACGGCCCAGACUCCUACGGGAGGCAGCAGUGGGGAAUAUUGCACAAUGGGGGAAACCCUGAUGCAGCGACGCCGCGUGGAGGAAGAAGGUCUUCGGAUUGUAAACUCCUGUUGUUGAGGAAGAUAAUGACGGUACUCAACAAGGAAGUGACGGCUAACUACGUG
rnacentral:rRNA from 1 species